rnacentral:ncRNA from 1 species
UGACACAUCUCUGGAGAGUGCCAAUAGGGCCACCAAAGGGGUAACCUUCCUGGUUGCAAAGGAGGGGAAACUCUCAGGUAGAAGGACAGAGCAUUGUGA